GUCACCUAUGAGAAGAGGUGAUAAAAAAUGAAGGCGUUGCGUAACCUCAGAACGUAGUAUCCCAAAGUCAUUGGAAUGGAAUCAACUCAAAGCAAGACGGAGAUAAUUCCAUUUAUUCCCAGUUUAAAUGAGAUUAUUCAAUUCACUUGACUAACUGGAUGUUAAACGAAAACAUCCUCUUGAUGUGAGCCUCAUGACCGUAAUUGCAUAACACAUGUCAAAUACUUUGUUUUAAAUCGGGGCGCUUGAAUAUUGUUUUAUUUUUGAAGGAAAAAAAAAAGUUGCUAUUUUCUUGUGUAGUCCAGUAAGCCAAUUAAAUUAUUCUCUUCAUAAUUGGUAUUCAUCUGCAAGUCACUCCCGUCUGCUUUGUUGCCAAAAGUAAAUUGGAGUUUCCUCUUUUAUACAUUCAAGGGCAAAAGUUGUGUGAUGCGAAUCGUAAUUUUUUGGACACUAUUUCUCACAUUGUGUUCAGCACUAGAAGAUUAUUUACAGAGGUUAUUUACAAUUUCAUAACAACCUUCGUCUACGGGGACUACAAAACACAAAGAGUCUACGAGUGGAAUGAACUUUCAAUGAGGAUGUAUCAAAGGCAGCAGCUGAUUGCCACACAGUCAGACUUCCUUUCUGAGUUAACAAAAAAUGAACUAUGUGUUCACUUCCAUUUUUUCGUCUGCUUUGCAGAAUUAGGGAAGAAAAUAAUACGUUUAAAAAUAUACUAUUCGCCCAAACCUGCUUUAGGACAGAUGUCAAUAUUCAAACCAAUGAUAGAAAUCCUUCUGUGUACCCCAAAUGAAAUAAAUGAGCAAACAUAUGCCAACCUAUGGGUGGGUAGAUGGGCAAAGAGCAACCAUGCAGGGACAAGGAACUGUCCAUAGUGCUGCAGUGGAGCAAUCAAGGCACACAGCACCGCGCUGGGAUUGGCUGCAGAUCCAUUCCACCUAUGGCCACUCCCCACUACGCCAUUUCACUCAAACGGUCUCGUGUCUUGCCUUCAAACCUCUCCAUCGCAACCAUUUCGGUGUUGCUCACUGCUUAUUUGUCGCUUUAAUCAAUCCCCUUUUAUUGGUCGUUGUGAAAUAGUAUCAUCAAGUAACUACAAUGAGGGAGCAACAGACUAGUGUGCAGCAGAGCUCGUUGCUUUUAUAAAGGAUGAAAGCAAAAACUGAAGCAGUCUACCGGUUUUGCGGAGAGGAAAACGUCUUCUCAAACAUCAAUUCAGCAAAAAUAAAAGUCAUCCUCCAUCA